rnacentral:rRNA from 1 species
GACGAACGCUGGCGGCGUGCCUAAUACAUGCAAGUCGAGCGGAACUGGGGAGCUUGCUCCUUCCAGUUUAGCGGCGGACGGGUGAGUAACACGUGGGCAACCUGCCCUGCAGAUCGGGAUAACUCCGGGAAACCGGUGCUAAUACCGAAUAGUUUGGCGCCUCUCCUGAGGCGCUACGGAAAGACGGUUUCGGCUGUCACUGCAGGAUGGGCCCGCGGCGCAGUAGCUAGUUGGUGGGGUAACGGCCCACCAAGGGGCCGAUGCGGUGCCGGCCUGAGAGGGUGACCGGCCACACUGGGGCUGGGAAACGGCCCAGACUCCGACGGGAGGCAGCAGUAGGGAAUCUUCCGCAAUGGGCGCAAGGCUGACGGAGCAACGCCGCGUGAGUGACGAAGGUUUUCGGAUCGUAAAACUCUGUUGUGAGGGAAGAACACGUACCAACUAACUAUUGGUACCUUGACGGUACCUCACCAGAAAGCCACGGCUAACUACGUGCCAGCAGCCGCCGCAG